AUUGAACGCUGGCGGCAGGCCUAACACAUGCAAGUCGAGCGAGCUGCGGACGGGUGAGUAAUGUAUGGGGACUGCCCGCUAGAGGGGGAUAACUACUGGAAACGGUAGCUAAUACCGCAUACUAUCGGAUAACCCAUAUGGGAUUAGCUAGUAGGUUAGGUAAUGGCUCACCUAGGCGACGAUCCCUAGCUGGUCUGAGAGGAUGAUCAGCCACACGGGGACUGAGACACGGCCCAGACUCCUAGGGAGGCAGCAGUGGGGAAUAUUGCAGACUGGGCGCAAGUCGGAGGCAGCGAUGCCGGGGGAAUGAAGAAGGACCUAGGGUUGAAAGGUCAUUGCAGUCGGGGGGGGUUACCGACAGAGGAAGCAGCGGCUAACUCCGAGCCAGCAGCCGCGGUAAUAC
rnacentral:rRNA from 1 species